rnacentral:rRNA from 1 species
UUUGAUUCUUCGGAUGAAGAUCCUUGUGACUGAGUGGCGGACGGGUGAGUAACGCGUGGGUAACCUGCCUCGUACAGGGGGAUAACAGUUAGAAAUGACUGCUAAUACCGCAUAAGACCACAGGGUCGCAUGACCUGGUGGGAAAAACUCCGGUGGUAUGAGAUGGACCCGCGUCUGAUUAGGUAGUUGGUGGGGUAACGGCCUACCAAGCCGACGAUCAGUAGCCGACCUGAGAGGGUGACCGGCCACAUUGGGACUGAGACACGGCCCAAACUCCUACGGGAGGCAGCAGUGGGGAAUAUUGCACAAUGGGGGAAACCCUGAUGCAGCGACGCCGCGUGAGCGAAGAAGUAUUUCGGUAUGUAAAGCUCUAUCAGCAGGGAAGAAAAUGACGGUACCUGACUAAGAAGCACCGGCUAAAUACGUGCCAGCAGCCGCGGUAAUACGUAUGGUGCAAGCGUUAUCCGGAUUUACUGGGUGUAAAGGGAGCGUAGACGGCUGUGUAAGUCUGAAGUGAAAGCCCGGGGCUCAACCCCGGGACUGCUUUGGAAACUAUGCAGCUAGAGUGUCGGAGAGGUAAGUGGAAUUCCCAGUGUAGCGGUGAAAUGCGUAGAUAUUGGGAGGAACACCAGUGGCGAA